CUUUAUGAUGAUCUUUUUAUUGGAGCUGUCUGUAGCCUGCUAUGUCUGGCGUUUGAUGACAAACUUUUACAUACGCUUUUUUUAUCUGAUG
rnacentral:snoRNA from 1 species